AAAAUAAUAUUGCGAUGAAGAAAAUAAAAUACAAAAAAAAAAAAAUUACAGAGUUCAACGACCGACCACUGCUGCUUCCCUCCUCUUUUUCUGUUUUUCCUCUUUCCUCCUUCAUUAGAUCCAUCUUUUCUGUCUUCCAUUUCCGAUCUGGGUUUGUUUGAAAUAAAAAUAAAAAUAUACUAUUUGAAAUCAGAUGGCCGCUCCACCCGCCAGAGCACGAGCCGAUUAUGACUGCCUCAUCAAGCUUCUCUUGAUCGGUGAUAGCGGUGUGGGUAAGAGUUGCCUUCUUUUACGUUUUUCAGAUGGUUCUUUCACCACCAGUUUCAUCACUACGAUUGGGAUUGAUUUUAAGAUAAGAACUAUUGAGCUUGAUGGUAAAAGAAUCAAACUGCAAAUAUGGGAUACUGCUGGACAAGAGCGAUUUCGUACUAUAACAACUGCUUACUAUCGUGGAGCAAUGGGUAUAUUGCUGGUGUAUGAUGUUACUGAUGAGGCAUCUUUUAACAAUAUUAGGAAUUGGAUCAGAAACAUCGAGCAACACGCCUCUGACAACGUCAACAAGAUAUUGGUGGGAAACAAAGCUGAUAUGGAUGAAAGCAAAAGGGCUGUUCCUACCUCCAAGGGUCAAGCACUAGCUGAUGAAUAUGGAAUCAAAUUUUUUGAGACUAGUGCUAAGACAAACAUGAACGUAGAGGAGGUUUUCUUCUCAAUUGCCAGGGACAUAAAGCAAAGACUCGCGGACUCUGACUCAAAGGCUGAGCCGCAGACUAUAAAGAUAAACCAUCCAGACCAGAAUGGUGGGUCUGCUCAAGCUGCUCAAAAAUCAGCUUGCUGUGGUUAAGAUAGUGUGCGCAGUGAUCCCCUUAGUCGAUCAAUUUGUUAUGACAAUAUUGGAACACCCUACCUUAGUUUGGUGCCAUUAUUUUAGGAUGUUUUAAUACCUUCUCUGCCAGCGCAAGUCACAAAAGAAGGAUGGGAGGACUGCUGCAGCAGUUAUCUUUCUAUAUAUAGUAAUGGAAAAAGGGGCGUUGCUAAUAAAAAAAAUACUAAAAAUUAGAUACAAUUUAGGUUUUGUAAACGAUAACAAAUUAACUGUUAUGUUUGCUUAUUGAGAUUGAAUCUCAUGAUUUAAUCUUAGAUGGAUA